CUGAUAUCACUGGGCUGGCACAGAAGACCCCAUUAGGAAUCAGUUUCCUCAGGGAGGCCACAGAACACAAAAAGUGUCCUCUCUCCCUUUCUUUCUGCCUCUAGGCCAGGCUUUGGCAGUUCCGGUAGUGAUCAGUGUCGGGGCCAAUCUACUGUCUGCCAGGGGCACCAUCGUCAGGGCCAGAGAUCAUGAUUCGAUACAGGAGUUUGGGCCUGGUGGCUGCCUAUGUCCUUUCACUGUGGCUGAUCACCUCCUUCCUACACCAGCACUCCAGCCAGAAGGACCUCCGUAAUAUGGCCAAGAUACACCCAGGAAUCUGCCACUGUCCCAGCGACUUUUCCAGAAAAUGCAACUGCUCAUCUGAGGUCCACACAUGCUCUGCCUGCCUCCACGUGCCUGGCGAGUCUGACUGGUUUGACAGACGC
rnacentral:lncRNA from 1 species